ACCCGCUGAACUUAAGCAUAUCAAUAAGCGGAGGAAAAGAAACCAACAGGGAUUGCCCCAGUAACGGCGAGUGAAGCGGCAACAGCUCAAAUUUGAAAUCUGGCUCUCGGGCCCGAGUUGUAAUUUGUAGAGGAUGCUUUUGGUGAGGUGCCUUCCGAGUUCCCUGGAACGGGACGCCAUAGAGGGUGAGAGCCCCGUCUGGUUGGACGCCGAACCUCUGUAAAGCUCCUUCGACGAGUCGAGUAGUUUGGGAAUGCUGCUCUAAAUGGGAGGUAUAUGUCUUCUAAAGCUAAAUACCGGCCAGAGACCGAUAGCGCACAAGUAGAGUGAUCGAAAGAUGAAAAGAACUUUGAAAAGAGAGUUAAACAGUACGUGAAAUUGUUGAAAGGGAAGCGCUUGUGACCAGACUUGGGGUUGGUUGAUCAUCCGGGGUUCUCCCCGGUGCACUCUUCCGGCCCAGGCCAGCAUCAGUUCGCCCUGGGGGACAAAGGCUUCGGGAACGUGGCUCUCUCCGGGGAGUGUUAUAGCCCGUUGCGUAAUACCCUGUGGCGGACUGAGGUUCGCGCAUUCGCAAGGAUGCUGGCGUAAUGGUCAUCAGUGACCCGUCUUGAAACACGGACCAAGGAGUCGUCUUCGUAUGCGAGUGUUCGGGUGUCAAACCCCUACGCGAAAUGAAAGUGAACGCAGGUGAGAGCUUCGGCGCAUCAUCGACCGAUCCUGAUGUUAUCGGAUGGAUUUGAGUAAGAGCAUACGGGGCCGGACCCGAAAGAAGGUGAACUAUGCCUGUGUAGGGUGAAGCCAGAGGAAACUCUGGUGGAGGCUCGCAGCGGUUCUGACGUGCAAAUCGAUCGUCAAACAUGGGCAUGGGGGCGAAAGACUAAUCGAACCUUCUAGUAGCUGGUUUCCGCCGAAGUUUCCCUCAGGA
rnacentral:rRNA from 1 species